rfam:Anopheles gambiae str. PEST chromosome 3L, whole genome shotgun sequence.
CUUAGUUUUAGCUCUGCAAUGGGAUGGGAUCCGAAGCCCCAUGAGGGAUCAUAUAGGCUCUACCAUCCAACUCCUAUUCCGACACGUCCUCGUCGUGUAGAGUGCUAACAUGUGUCCCCACAUUUCCAAGCCUGGAUACACGGACGAACCAGGAGGGUGGUGGGCACCCCAGGAAACUGGGUGGA